UGGCUGAGCGUUAAAGCGCUUGUCUUCCGAACCGGAGUCCCGGGUUCAAAUCCUGG
rnacentral:tRNA from 1 species